CCCGAGCUGCUGCAGCCCUGCACCCACUGCUCGCUGCGGACCCGUUUUGUGCCACAGCGCGGGGCCACCAGGACACGGAUUGGGGGGUGUGGAGCCGGCAGGCGAAGCCUCAGCAUGGAUGUGAUGGUCUCGGAGCCCCUGGAGCUCUUCCUGCAGAGCCCGCUGGUGACCUGGGUGAAAACUUUUGGCCAGUUCGCAAGUGGCAGCCAGGACAAUCUGACUAUGUACAUGGAUUUAGGGGACGGCAUCUUUUUAAACCAAAUCAUGCUGCAGAUAGAUCCCAGGCCCACAAAUCAAUGCAUCAGUAAGCAUAUCAACAAUGAUGUGAAACUUUGCAUUCAGAAUUUGACCAUCUUGGUGAGAAACAAGACCUACUACCAGGAAGUUCUCCAGCAGCUGAUUGUAAUGAAUUUGCCCAAUGUUUUGAUGAUUGGCAGAGACCCACUAUCUGGGAAGAGCAUGGAGGAAAUCAGGAAGAUGCUGCUGCUGGUGAUGGGCUGUGCCAUCUAGUGUGAGAGGAAAGAGGAGUUCAUUGAAAGGAUCAAACAGCUGGACAUCGAGACCCAGGUUGGCAUCGUGGCCCAUAUUCAGGAGGUGACUCACAAUCAGGAGAACGCGUUUGACCUAUAGUGGCUGGAGCUACCCGACAUGGCCGUGGAGGAGCUGGAGGACCUCUCCAGGAGCAUAGUGGUCCACCUGAGGAGGCUCAUCAAUCAGCAGGACAAGUGCACCAAGCUAAUCAUGGACCUCACUCAGGGGCGGGACUAUCUGCAGGCACAGCACCUACCCAGCCCUGUCAAGUCCUCCAGCACCGACUCCACUCCCAGCCUCACCAGCAGCCUCUCCAGUGAGGACAAGCAACACCUGGCCGUGGAGAUGGCCAACACCAAGGCCAGGCUGCGGUGCAUCCAGCAGGAGCUGGAGGAGAAGACAGAGCAGCUUAUGGACACCAGGCACGGGGUGGACCAGCUGGUGCUGGAGCUGCAGAAAGUUAAGCAGGAGAACAUCCAAUUAGCGGCAGAUGCUGGGUCUGCUCAAGCCUUUCAAGAUGAGCUGGACUCCCUGUGGGAGAAGGUGAACCGCAUAGAGAGGCUGGAGCUGGAGCUGACCCGCUGUAAGGAAAAGCUGCAUGAUGUGGACUUCUACAAGGCCCACAUGGAGGAGCUGAGAGAAGAUAAUAUUAUUUUAAUUGAAACUAAGGCCAUGCUGAAGGAACAGCUGACUGCUGCUUGGGCCUGGGGCGAUAAAGUCUGUGAGCUGGAGAAGGAGAACCUGCAGCUGAAAUCUAAGCUUCGUUCCCUGGAAUUGGACCAGGACACAGAUAAGAAACGAAUUGAAGAGCUGCUGGAAGAAAACAUAGCCCUUGGGAUUGCACAGAAGCAGAGCAUGAACGAAUCUGUCCGCCUUGGCUGGGAGCUGGAGCAGCUGUCCAAGAACGCAGACUUGUCAGACACCUUCAGGAAGUCGUUUGUGUUUCAGCUGAACGAGUGUGCCUCCAGCCCCGUCCUGAAGCUGGAGAAGGAGAACCAAAGCCUCCAGAGCACCAUCCAGGGGCUGCAGGACGUGUCCCUUGUGCUGGAGGAGAGCGGCCUCAAGUGCUGCAAGCUGGAGAAGGAGAACCAACAGCACAGCAAGAAGAUGGAAAAGUUACAAACCCAGCUGGAGAGAAAAAAGCAGAACCAAGAUCUGGAGACCCUCAGUGAGGAGCUGAUCAGAGAGAAGGAACAGCUGCAGAGUGACAUGGAGACCAUAAAGGCUGACAAAGCCAGGCAGAUCAAGGACCCUGAGCAGGAAAAGGACCACCUCAACUGAGCUGUGUGGAUGCUACGGGAGAGGUCGCAGGUCAGCAGCGAGGCACAAAUAAAGGACAUGGAGAAGGAGAACACAGCCCUCCAUCAGAUGGUGAUGGAGACCAGUGGCAAGCUCAGCCAGUUGGAGUUUGAGAAGUGGCAGCUGCACAGGGACCUGGAGCAGGCCAGGGAGAAGGGGGAGUGGGCAGAGAAGCUGGAGAGGGAGCUGCAGCCACUGCAGGAGGAGAACAAACAGCUGGCCAGGAAGCUGACCUCCCUGGAGAUUGCCACUGAGAAAGUCGAGGCCCUGGAACAUGAGAGCUGGGGCCUGCAGCUGGAGAACCAGACACUGAGGAAGUCUUUGGACACCCUGCAGAAUGUGUCCCUGUAGAUUGAGGGCCUGGAGCACGACAACAAGCAGCUGGACACGGAGAACCUGGAGCUGCGCAGGAUGGUGGAGACUCUACGCUUCACUAGCACCAAGCUGGCGCAGAUGGAGAGGGAGAACCAGCAGCUGGAGUGUGAGAAGGAGGAGCUGAGGAGGAAUGUGGAGCUGCUCAAGGUCCUGGGCAAGAAGUCAGAGGCCUGGAGCUCAGCUACCAGAGCAUGAGUGCCAAGAACCUCUGGCUGCAGCAGAGCCUGGAAAGCAGCAGCUGCAAGAUGCAGGCCCUGGAGAGUGAGCUGGGCGAGCUGGAGGCAGAGCUCCAGAUGCUGCGUGUGGGACCUGGAGGCCCUGCAGCUGGCCAGUGCACAGCUGGAGGGGGCCGAGAAGGACAGGAAGGCCCUGGAGCAGGAGGUGGCCCAGCUCGAGAAGGACAAGAAGCAGCCAACAGAAGGAGGCCAAGCGGCUGUGGUAGCAGGUGGAGCUCAAGGACACGGUCUUGGACGACAGCACUGCUAAGCUCUCUGCUGUUGAGAAGGAGAGCCACAUGCUGGACAAGGAGCUGGCCCACUGCAGGGAUAUGACUGGCAAGCUGAAGGAGCUGGAGAAGGACAACCGGGACCUCACCAAGCAGGUCACUGUGCAUGCCAGGACACUGAUGACCCUGAGGGUGGACCUGGUGCUGGAGAAGCUAAAGAGCCAGCAGCUGAGCAGUGAGCUGGACAAGCUGAGGCAGCAACUGGAGAAAGUCAGCCUCAACAGGGAGCUGCUGCUGCAGGAGGAUGACAGCAGCAGUGACACAAAAUACAAGAUUUUGGAGGGCAGAAAUGAAUCAGCAUUAAAAACGCUAGCCAUGAAAGAAGAAAAGACUGUGCUCCUGGAAGCACAGAUGGAAGAGAAAGCGAGCCUCAAUUGCCAGUUAGAGAGCGAGCCGCAGAUGCUGAAGGAGUGUGAGAUCCUCAGGCAGAACCAGGGAGAGGGGCAGCACUUGCAGAACUCUUUCAAACACCCUGCAGGGAAGACAGCCGCCAGUCACCAGGGGAAAGAGGCCUGGGGGCCCAUCCACAAGGAAGCCACCCUGGAGCUGCUCCAAGUGAAGGGCUGGGCCAUCGAGCUGGAGCAGCUCUGCAAGCUGAGAAGCAGCUGCUCAAGGAACAGCUGCAGCACCUGGAGACCCAGAACGUGGCCUUCAGCAGCCAACAGAGAGCCUUCCUGCAGUAGCACACCAUGCGGCUGACCCAGACUGCCAAGCUGCAGGUAGAGAACUCCACACUGAGCUCCCAGAGCACCGUGCUCAACCCUCAGUACUCACUGCUGCAGAGCCACCACAUGGCCAAGGAGACGGAGAACGAGAGCCUGCAGAGGCAGCAGGAGCAGCUGACAGCGGCCCAUGAGGCCCUGCUGCAGGACCACGAGCACCUGGGCAUGCUGCACGAGCCAAAGCCUUAGUCAAACUCAUCAAACCAGAGGAGGGUUCGAGGGAAUGCUUGAAGUUCACUGCGGACAGUCCUCCCUGGCAGCUGGAGUCCUCAGACCCCGCCUUGCUGGCAGCCUCUCAGAGCACAGCCCGAGAACCCGGACACACCCCCGCACUGGGCUCCAACUAUGCCGAAAAGCGUGAUGCCCACAACGGGUCUGCGGGGAACGAACGGCCUUGGGGAUCUAAAACCAAAGUGAGGCUCCCCACACAGAGGCAGCCUUGACCGCACAGACGCCUCCACUGAUCCGGCCAUGAGGUCCUGGCCUUUGGAGCCGGGCUCCUGGACCUGCUCAGCCUCAGCCACCACUCCAACCCCUUCCAGCUCCACCCCCAUCGCCCGGCAGCCAGGCCGCACCAAAGAUGACAACCUCUGCAAGCCAUCUCGAGUUUGAGGUCCCCAACCACAGGCAGUAUGUGUCGCAGUCAAGUAGCUUAGACAGCAGUAGAAACACAUCCAGCAACAGCUCUGCUCUAAAAGGCUCCUCAGAGCUGCUCCCGGCCGGUCUGAGAGCUUCAGUAGUGAAGACCUGAUCCCUAGCAGGAACCUGGCCACUCUGCCCCGGGAAGCCAGCGCCCCAGGGCGCAAUGCCUUCCGCCGCUACGAGUACCCCUUGCGCCGGAACGGGCCUGUCCCACAGGAGGGUGCCCAGAAGAGGGGCACAGCCCCUCCACACGCUCGGCCUCCCCCAGCAGCGAGAUGGUAACCUUGGAGGAGUUCCUGGAGGAGAGCAAGCUCCCCCACCCAAGACACCCCCAGUUGCCGGGAUGCCCUGCUGAGUGACUACUUCCGGAAGGCCAGCGAUCCCCCAGCCGUGGGAGGCCAGCCAGGACCACCCGCCAGGAAAGAAGGGGCCAAAAUGCCUACCAGCUUUGUGACCCCCACCGUCAAGAUGGCCGCCCCGCCUCAGAGAGGAAGCGGCUGAAGCCCGGGCAGUGUGUGAAGCCAAACUCCAGGCUGACUGAGGCCGAGGCCCCACCCAGCGUGGCCCCCCGACAGGCCCAGCCCCCCCUGACUCUGGGCAGACCCCGGCAGGCCCCGGUGCCCGCAGCUUCCCACGUACCUGCGGCGCCUCCCUGAGCCGAGCCUUCCGCCUGGCCUCAGCCGACCUUCUCCCGGCCAGCGGCGCGAGGCCUGCAAACAGGAGUCCCCCCACAAGCUGGGGGCUCCCGAGGCCUCGGGGGACAGAGAGACAGGCAGCUAUACCCUGCCAAACCCCGCACGCCCCAGCUCCCACAGCCUGGCCUGGGAGCGGACCCCACUUGUGGGAAAGGCUGGCGGCUCCUGUCAGGGCCCGGGUCCCCGCAGCCGGCCGCUGGACACGAGGCGCUUCUCCCUGGCUCCCCCAAAGGAGGAGAGGCUGGCCCCCCUGCAUCAGUCCGCCACAGCCCCCGCCAUUGCCGCUGCAGGUGCUGGUGCUGGCGGUGGCGGCAGCAACUCCCAGCUCCCUCACUUCUCACCUGCUGCAGCCCAAGGCGCGCCCGCACCCAGGGGAGGUGGCCACCGUCACCCCCUUCCGGGCGGGGCUCAACCUCUCAAAGGGAGAUGGGGUCCCAGGGCAGGGCUGCGGCGAGGGGCUCCGGCCAAGGGCCCAGGUCUGCCUGCUGACUCGGCUCCCCACCCCGGCCGGGACCUCGAGGACUUCAGUCGAGGGAGCAGCUCAAAGAGCACCCCGGCCUCCCGGGAGCCGGGCGGGGACCAGCAGACGGUGUGGUUCGAGUACAGCUGCGUGUGAACCGCUAGCGGCUGAGCUCGCAAACCUGAAAACUAGUGACGCGCCCUCCGACGCUCAUGGCCUUUUCUCCUGCUUGCCUGCGGCGCCAGGAAAGGGUUUGGAAUGAGGUGCGGGGUUCCCGUGCCUUUCUGCUGUUUGUUCUGCGAAUGGAAACACUGUGCCAAGCCCCAAGAGGAUGACGCUUCCAGGUGUGUAAUGAGUCUUCUGUAUCUUCCGCUUCCAGCAGCUGGUAUCUUUGGAAUAAAUCUACGUCAGCAUGGGGA